CUCGCCGCCGGGAAGUGGCGUGGGUCGACACGGGGUCGAUCCGUCCGCCCCCGGGACGAGACGAAAUGUGGCCGCAUGCGCGGCUGAAUCGCAAA
ncrna:unclassified sequences eL15-Euryarchaeota ribosomal protein leader